AGCGCCCCGCAAGGGGAGCGGCAGACGGGUGAGUAACGCGUGGGAACGUACCUUUUGCUACGGAAUAACUCAGGGAAACUUGUGCUAAUACCGUAUGUGCCCGAAAGGGGAAAGAUUUAUCGGCAAAGGAUCGGCCCGCGUUGGAUUAGCUAGUUGGUGAGGUAAAGGCUCACCAAGGCGACGAUCCAUAGCUGGUCUGAGAGGAUGAUCAGCCACACUGGGACUGAGACACGGCCCAGACUCCUACGGGAGGCAGCAGUGGGGAAUAUUGGACAAUGGGCGCAAGCCUGAUCCAGCCAUGCCGCGUGAGUGAUGAAGGCCCUAGGGUUGUAAAGCUCUUUCACCGGUGAAGAUAAUGACGGUAACCGGAGAAGAAGCCCCGGCUAACUUCGUGCCAGCAGCCGCGGUAAUACGAAGGGGGCUAGCGUUGUUCGGAUUUACUGGGCGUAAAGCGCACGUAGGCGGACUUUUAAGUCAGGGGUGAAAUCCCGGGGCUCAACCCCGGAACUGCCUUUGAUACUGGAAGUC
rnacentral:rRNA from 1 species